rnacentral:lncRNA from 1 species
GAAAUUGUCCAAUGUCUUCUACCGGAAUUUCUUGAAGUCCAAGAUGUCUUCAAAUGCAACAAAAUUUAAUGAUUACAUUGAACUUCUUGCUUCAAAUCAGAAUCAUUUUCUUCCAUACAUAAUUUACUCAAGUUAACUGACUUCACUAUCGUGUCCUACAAGAAAUUCACUUCACUAAAUAAGCUAAAAUUCAGAAACAAAAUUAAAGUACAAAAAAAGAAGAGUAAUUCAUAAUAAAACAAUAAAUAAACUCAUGACUGAGAUUAUACCUUAAUACGAAAAUGAGAUGAAGCUAAAAUCAAUUCAAAUUUGUUCGCAUUUUCCAGCAGAUUCGCAGUAAAAUUAAUUCGACUUUAUACUUUUUAGUCUCAAAUUUAUGCGGCUUAAUACAAAUAAAAAGAAAACAAUUUUAAUUUUUGCAUCAAUUUCAUGAAUUGAACAAAUUUUGGAUUAAAGAUGAAGAAGAAGGAGGCUAAAUUAAGAUUUUUAAAGAAGAAAUCGAAUAUAACCAUUAGGGGCUUCAAACAGGUAUUUAAAAGAAAUUAACUAGACAAAAAAUAUGUUUUAACGUGACCAACGAUACUUGUUUAUACGCGAUUGUUAAGGGAGUAUUUUAAUAUAUUUUAAAGAUGUUAAGGAAAUAAAUAAAUAAAAAAUUAAUUUAAAUAUUAAAGUAAAUUGAGCGGAUAAAUUCAAAAGGAAAAUGAUGUUUUUUCUCUAACUUUAAUCAACUUGGUUAGUACCCAAUUGGUUUUGGCUGGUCAAAGAGGAGAAGAAAACAAUUGACAGUGACUUUUUUCUUUUUUCUUCUUUUGGAUGCUAAGGUUUUCUAUUGAACUUUCACAUAUUAACCUAACUAAUAGAAAAUUGAAUUUUCUAUUAUUGUUUGUUUAUAUUUCGUCCAAUUUUGAACUUUUUUUUAGACGUAGAAAAAUUAGAAAAUAUCUAUCGAAUAAGGCUUUAAUCCAAAAUCUAUAAUUAAAAAUUAAAAAAUAUUGUAUAUUACAAUUUCACUUUAACCUUUACUAAAAAUACAAAAAAUCUCAACAUUAUGGAGACUCAAGUUAGAUUUGAUCCAAGAAGUUUUGACAUACAAGAUUCAGAAGACUCAAAUGGUGUUCUAGAAGCUACCAGCAAUUAGAAAGACAAAUUGGUAGUAACAAUGUGAGAAUUAUUGUAUGUUAAUAUUCGUUAUAACGUACUGUUAAGAAAAAUUAGAGGAAAUGCGUUAAUUUUGCCAGAUAGUUUAUUCAUGUCGGCUGUUGAUAGUCUCGUUCAUUUACAAUCUUGUCAUUAAAAACCGAACUCUUACGGCCUAAUUAUUAAUUUCAUUAGUCUCGUUAAUUAGAACAAGCUGGAGAGCCAAACAAAUCAAUAUUCAACUAUUAAUAACUAAUAUCAGAACUUUUACUUAUAAUUGCUCAUUUUUUAUAUUAAUUUCAAUAUCGAGUUCACGUGUGACUUCUUCACUUUCGAGAUUCUUUUUCUCGGAGUGUUUUGAUAUAUUUUUUAUUGAGUCGAAAGUCUAUCGGAAACAACUUCUCUACCUCCUAACCUUCCAAAUCCAAGAUAGAGAUAAUUGGGUUUGUAUAGUUAUUAUCCUUCCCACAUUUCAUUAGUGGGAUUACACUAGAUAUGUUGUUCUUAUUGUUAUAUAGAAUCUACAUCGCGACGAAUGUCAUACAGAACUGAGUAAGUAGACCUGAGUAUGAUUUCACUUCAAGCGUCAAACCACUACUGUGUUGAACGGUCUUGAAGUUGCAGCUUUGAAACAACUCGAAUAUAAAAUGGAGAUUGUUGGAUUUAAACGAAAUUUCACCAAUCAAGAGUUCCAGAUGUUGAUUCAGAUGACUUCCUCGGAUGGUAGCUUCGCAUGGUGGGAAUUUUUUAGGAAAGAUUCGAUGUGCUCGGAGGAGUAGCUCAAGCUUAAAUCGAUUCAGCUGACCACUUUCCUAUUUUGUUUUGUAGAUGUCAGAUCUUGCAAGGUUUUGGGCCAGGACUUUCGGGC